UUAUUUACAUAACAUACAGUGAGUAAAAUUAAUAGACUACUACAUACUGUACAUUCUCAAAUAUCAUAUACCAACCUUAGUUAGGUACUUUUAUCAUAACACUGUUACAUAAAGCAUACAUUAAGAUUAAGCCAAAUAUAAAAAUAAUAGGCAGUUCCACCACCAUAAUUUACGAUAAUUGCAAGCAGUGGUCAUCCCUAAAAUAUAUAAAUGGUCACUAAUAUUUCACUAGACAUUGAAGUGGCUUAGAUAAUUAUACACAAAAUAGUUAGUUAACUCUUAAAAUGACAUUUGGCAACUCUGGCCGAGCAAAACCUUGGAAAUGUUGUCAGGAUCAUAAAAAUGAACUUCUUUAACAUAAUGCCAGUUACUUCUUUUUAGUUUGCUCACUUUUCAUUAGAACAGACAUAACCCUGCAAGCUUGGUUCUUUAAUGGCACAACCAAAGGCUUAAAGAAAAAAUAAUAAUUAAAAUUUGAUUUCAAAUUAAUACCUCCGAGAACUCACCUUCGAGCUGUUUUAAAAGCUGCCGUAUCUACACCAACAAAAGUCAUUUAGAGUUGUUAAUAACUUAGAAUCAAUUUUCUUACAAUUCAAUUUACCACUACUCCAUCAAAGCAAAUAUUUGAGUAAAAAGGUCCGCAAAUGAAAAAAAAAAGUCAAAAAGCUUCACCUUCACUGCAUCCUCCACUUUAAAGCCCAACAAUAGUAAUGCCUAUAAACAAGAAUUUUAUAGUUGUAAAAUCCAAGUAAAAAGUCAAAUAACGAUCAAAUAUCUUAAUCUUAUAGUUAUGAUCUAAUUAAAGAGGUAAAAGCUUCAAGGUUUUACCAAACCUUUCUUUAAGCCAUUUACUCUCCAAGAAAACUGUACUGUUGAAUUUCAGUAUAAUCAUAAUUAAAUUUUAAUCACUUUAACUUUUUUUUCCGACAAUAAGAAAACUGGAUUCAUAUUUAAGAUCAAAGUGUAUGUAAUAAUAUUAGCCGUACAGCCAUACAACCAUGUUUAACUGAAAGCCAAAUUGGCAAAACAUUUGCAGUAAGGUUCCAGCAAAACAUGUCGAACAAUGAAAUUUUGCUGUUGAUCUUUCAAUUUUGACACUUUCUUUUUUAAUCUUGAAAGAAAAAUAAAAUGGUGAAGUACGAGAUUUAAAUUAGAGAAAGUGCAUGUUUGAAAAAAAGGAAAGAGAAAUAAAUAAAGAGAAAAGAAUCUGAAAUUUAGGAAUAAAAUACAUAACUUUAGUAACUGAUAGGAGAAAUAUUAAAAAUAAAUCCUUACCAUCCUCUAAAUCUUAGGAAAAAUUAGAUUAGGAGAGAAUUCAAGUCCUAUAAUUUGAUGUGUUAUAUUAAGCAUAAAGAAAGAAGCAUUCGUUACAAGAAAUUGGGGGGGGGGGGGGGGGGGGUUGGUGGAGGUGGGAUCAUAAGCAUUUAAAGGAAUGAACUUUGGAUCUUCGGUUAAUUCACUCGGAACUUCUGUAACACGCUUGUAAAAGUAAAUUAACAACUCAAUAUUCAAUUGAAAAGCAACAAAGACAAAAAAUUAUUUUAGAAUGUAAAAUUAAUAUGCAAAUUAAAAACAGAGACAAGGGUAAGCGCACACACACCUUCAGUUGAUGCACGUGGCGUUGGUGGGUGUAUUAGUUCCAAGCUGUGAGCACAAGUGCUACUCGUCUUUGACGAUAAAGAAAAAAUAAAAUUUUGAAAUUUGUGAAACUGUAUGUGGAUUUGACGAAACUGAAGGAAUCAAAAGAAGAGUUCAGAAAAUCUCCAAAAGAAGAGUUCAUUCUCAUCCUCUGAAUUGUAAAUUAAUUAUUAUUUCUAUAAAAAAAUUUCAAAACAGAAUCGAUUAAAACACGAAUCGGAUCAUACCUAGGGUUUAGAAGAGAUGAGAAAUUGAGAAAAUGCAGCAGGUUCUUUGGACUCAAACGCGUCCUCGCUCGUUCUCGCUCAAUAUCGUUGUGAAAUCAAUGAGUUUUUGUACUGGCUAGAAUUCUUUUAAAGAAACUAGGAUUUUUGAUUCCCUAAUAUGUAGGCAAUAAUUUAUUAGCUACUCUCCAUUUUUUAUUUCGUCCAAUGCUUUAAAAGAGAAAUUAGUUCUUUGUGGUGUUCUUGUUCUUGGUCAUUACAAUUUUGCGGUCAUUCCAUGAACUCAGGGUUUGAGCAAGAGAAGAAACUGAAUUUUCGAAGAUUUUAAAAAUUGGAGUGAGUUGAUUUUGCAUUCAAAUCAGACAACCUGAUAUUGCACU
rnacentral:lncRNA from 1 species